rnacentral:rRNA from 1 species
GACGAACGCUGGCGGCGUGCCUAACACAUGCAAGUCGAGCGAACAGACGAGGAGUUUGCUCGUCUGACGUUAGCGGCGGACGGGAGAGUCACAUGUGGAUAACCUAACUCUAAGAAUGGGAUAAUUUCGGGAAACCGGCGCUUAUACGGGAUAAUAUAUUGAACCGAAAGGGUCAAGAGUGAAAGAAGGUUUUGGUGUCAGUUAUAGAUGGAUCCGCGCCGCAUUAGCUAGUUGGUAAGGUAACGGCUUAACCAGGAAACGAAGCGUAGCAGACCUGAGAGUGUCGUCGGCCACCCUGGAACUGAGACACAGUCCAGACACCUACGGUAGGCAACAGUACGGACUCUUCCGCGAUGGGGGAGAGCCUGACGGUGCGACGUCGCGUGAGUGAUGAAGGUGUUCUGAUCGUAAAAUUCUGUUGUUAGUGGAAAACAAAUGUUUUAUUAACGGUGCACGUCUUGACGGUACCUGAUCAGGAAGCCACGGCUAACUACGUG